AAAUUGAAGAGUUUGAUCAUGGCUCAGAUUGAACGCUGGCGGCAGGCCUAACACAUGCAAGUCGAACGGUAACAGGAAACAGCUUGCUGUUUCGCUGACGAGUGGCGGACGGGUGAGUAAUGUCUGGGAAACUGCCCGAUGGAGGGGGAUAACUACUGGAAACGGUAGCUAAUACCGCAUAACGUCGCAAGACCAAAGAGGGGGACCUUCGGGCCUCUUGCCAUCGGAUGUGCCCAGAUGGGAUUAGCUAGUAGGUGGGGUAACGGCUCACCUAGGCGACGAUCCCUAGCUGGUCUGAGAGGAUGACCAGCCACACUGGAACUGAGACACGGUCCAGACUCCUACGGGAGGCAGCAGUGGGGAAUAUUGCACAAUGGGCGCAAGCCUGAUGCAGCCAUGCCGCGUGUAUGAAGAAGGCCUUCGGGUUGUAAAGUACUUUCAGCGGGGAGGAAGGGAGUAAAGUUAAUACCUUUGCUCAUUGACGUUACCCGCAGAAGAAGCACCGGCUAACUCCGUGCCAGCAGCCGCGGUAAUACGGAGGGUGCAAGCGUUAAUCGGAAUUACUGGGCGUAAAGCGCAC
rnacentral:rRNA from 1 species